rnacentral:rRNA from 1 species
AUGGUGUCCUGGGAAUCCUGGCUAUGUAAAUUUCACCUGCUAGCUCAUUAUCAGAGCAUAUCAUCCAAUACUAAGGAUUUCAAUUAUCAUGGUGUAUUCAAGUCAAAGCUAAAUAGUAGUCUACAUCCGCCUACCUUGGCAAGGAUACCAGGAACACUAUAUGCUCAGCAAUCGUACAAAGUAAAUGAUGCAUUUCCUUCCAAAUGGAUAUACAAAAAGUUGAUUGAGGGUUUUUAUGCCACAUCCAUGGUUACUGCUGGAAGUCGAUUGGCAGUCUUCAUGUACCGAUAUGCUAUUUUUAUAGAUUAG